rnacentral:rRNA from 1 species
CAGCAGCCGCGGUAAUACGUAGGUGGCAAGCGUUGUCCGGAAUUAUUGGGCGUAAAGGGCUCGCAGGCGGUUUCUUAAGUCUGAUGUGAAAGCCCCCGGCUCAACCGGGGAGGGUCAUUGGAAACUGGGAAACUUGAGUGCAGAAGAGGAGAGUGGAAUUCCACGUGUAGCGGUGAAAUGCGUAGAGAUGUGGAGGAACACCAGUGGCGAAGGCGACUCUCUGGUCUGUAACCGACGCUGAGGAGCGAAAGCGUGGGGAGCGAACAGGAUUAGAUACCCCUGUAGUCCCUGUCUCUUAUAC